ACACUUCAGUUUCCGCCUUCUGCUCACGGACUGCAGAGAAAAGACACCCUUCAAAACACAACGCUGGUCAUAUUUGUAAGUAGAAUAGUUUAAUGAAAUGUCUGAUACUUUUUCAUCUCCUGUGUGCUUUUCAUGUCACAUUUUUGACUUGUGUUAUCAUCCCUAAAGUCCCAGAGAAAGGAGAGAGGAGCAGAGAUGAGUUUAACUGCAGCAGUGAGUGGAUUCAUCCUUCUCCUCUCUGUAUCAGGUACUUCAUAUCUACAGCUUUUCCUUUUUAAUUUGAUCAAAAACAGACUCUGUUUGCAGAACCUGCAGUUUUUUCUCCAAAAUUCUGAUUGUAAUUUGCUGUAUUGAAAUCACUUUUUGAGUUUUUUAGUGGAUACUAGUUUUGCAGUCAGGCUAGUGUCUCAGGGACUCAUUUAUUACAACACAUCUGCAACAACCCUGUCUGUUCCUCUUCAUAGGUGUUAUAUUUCCAUGCUGAUGCUGCAUUGACAGCACUUAUCUAAUCAUUGAGUAUUAGCUGCUGUACAGUUUCUCACCCCUUAGACUUCUGCAUUUAUUUUUAGAUACACACUUGACUGGGCAGCUAACUUUGCACAGAGAAAACUUUCACAGAACAGCACAAUCUGUCAAAUAAUUUACACUGUUAAUAAUGCUGUUGGGUUAGAGAAGUGUUGAUGAAUAUAAACAUCUGUAAUUUUUCAGUAUGGAUAAAUCUUCUCUCAGAUAUUUUGAUAAGUAGUUUAAAAUCUAAUAUCAAACAGAGAAAAAAGCUAAACCUGACAAAAAUAUCUUACAUGUGAUUGUUAUAUCAAGAUGAUGUCGGACUGCACCUCAAUGAUCUGGUUCAGAUUUAUUUAUUUCAUGUUCAGUCUUAAACUUUUCCUGGUCUGGUUAAAUUGACUGUGUUCUCUGAUUUUUGUGUUUUAGUGGCUCAGCCUCAGAACGGCUGGGAGGUGACUUACUCUACAGCUCAGAUCUGUGUCUCCAGAGGAUCAACUGUGGAAAUAAGCUGCAACUUUAAGUACCCAAAAACAAUGGAGAGGAAGCAGAACAAACUCUUAAAAACAUUUUGGUUUAUUAGGAAACGUGGUGAUGAGUUUCUAAACAUUGAAACAGACUCAGAGUAUUCAGGUCGUGUGAAGACCACGUAUGAUGGGACCAGAUCCACCUUGACAAUCACAAACCUGACAGGGAGUGACUCAGCUGAAUACAAGUUCAGGAUGGAGACAAGCGUGGACAAAUAUUUUGGCUACCCAGGUGUCACCCUGUCUGUCAGAGGUAAAGUUUUCUCUGAAAUUUUUCAUCUUUUAUCUUUUUGAAAAUCGUGUAAAUGAUUAUAUUAUGUGUAUGUUUAUGUGGAAAGUACUGACAGUUUUAUCUGAUCAGAUGUCCAGAUAAGGGUGAACAGACCAGGUGGGCAUUUGCAGUUGAGGUGUCUCAGCCGUUGUCGUCAAGAUUUUCGAUACAUUUGGUUCAAGAAUGGAGAAAAAAUUAAGAACCAAAAUUCAAAAUAUCAUCAACCAGACCAGACUCUGAACACAGACAGAUUUUCCUGUGCUGUAGAAGGAUAUGAGGACUUCCCCUCUCCUUCAGUGUGUGAGUUUACCCCUCCCUUUCCUCUAACACAACACUAUCUGAUGGAGGUUUUAAAAUUUAGUGCGUGCCCUGACUCUCUGGUCUGUGGCUAACAUUUCCACUUUAAAAAACAUCUCAUAUCUGUGAUGCUCAGAGUAAAAACUCAAUAGUAAAGAGUUGUUAAAGGACAGAGAGCAUAAACCAAGUACAUCAGUGACUGAAAUGUUAACUGUAAAAUGUGUUUCUUCUUCAGAUGCUUUCGAGCCUCCCUCUGUGUCAGUGAGUUCCUCUGCUGAGAUAAUGGAGGGAAAAAAUGUGACUCUGACCUGCAGCAGUGGUGCUAAUGUAGAAUCCAGUUAUACCUGGUAUCAAAGAAAUGAACUUCUACAUCCUCUGCGUCUCAGGAGAGGACCUCAGCUUGUCUUCAGCUCCAUCAAGUCCUCAGACUUUGGACAGUAUUACUGUGAAGUGAGGAACAUCUUUGGGACGCAGAUAUUGGGGAACAUCUUGGCUGGUUUGACAUGUGUGUGAAACAUCACAGUUCAAACACAUUAGAAAGACAAUAAACUACACAACAAUACCUCAAAACAGUUUUAUCCUGUAUUUGAACAAAAAGCACUGAGACAAAAUUUCUUCUUUUAUAUGUUUAUUUGCAAGUUUAAUUUACCAACUUUGAUUAAAUCCAUUUCCAGAUGAUCCAAAACGUCCCUCUGUGUCAGUGAGUCCCUCUGCUGAGAUAGUGGAGGGUAAUCAUGUGACUCUGACCUGCAGCAGUGAUGCUAAGCCAGAUGCUACUUAUACCUGGUACAGAAGAAGUGGACGUCUAAGUCUGAGUCUCAGAAAAGGAAAUCAGCUUGUAUUCAGCUCCAUUCAGUCCUCAGACUCUGGACAGUAUUAUUGUGAAGUGAGGGGCAUCACCGGGUCCUCUAGGGACGUCUUAGUCUAUGUGAAAUGUGAGUAAAAAGUCACAUUUAAAGAGGAACAGAAGGAUGAAAACCAUACACAACCAUAUCCCAGAAAUGAUUUUUAUUCUGUGUUUGUUUCUUUGUCAUUUCUGUUUUUAUCCGUCUUCAGAUGCUCCAAAGUUCUCUUAUGUGUCUGUGAGUCCCUCUUCUGAGAUAGUGGAGGGCAGUUCAGUGACUCUGACCUGUAUCAGUUACGCCAACCCAGCACCACGUUCCACCUGGUACAAGGAGAACAACACCACGUUUCAGUCAACAGGAGGAAUUUAUACUUUUCUCAACAUCAGCCAUCUGGACAGAGGGAGAUACAACUGCAGAUCUGAGAAUCAAUAUGGAUCACAUGUAUCUCCCCCUCUCUCACUAGAUAUCCAGUGUGAGUAGAAGACAUUACAAAGUUAGAUCACCUGGUACAAAACUCUUCUUAAUGGCUUAAGUCUCCAUGUAAAGUUUUCUUUCGAUCUCUUCCAGAUGCUCCAAAACGUCCCUCUGUGUCAGUGAGUCCCUCUGCUGAGAUAGUGGAGGGUAAUCAUGUGACUCUGACCUGCAGCAGUGAUGCUAACCCUGCAGCUACUUACACCUGGUACAAAGAGAGUGAAGACUCAGCAAACGCUUCAGGACAGACCUUCACCAUCACUGAGUUCAGAGCUAAUCACAGUGGGAAUUAUUACUGUGAAGCCCGAAACAAAAUAGGACGCCAGAAAUCCAGCCCACAUCAGAUCGUUGCGGCAGGUGAGAUAUUUACACACCUGCACACAGAGAGCUUACCCAGAAUACUCAAAGCAGCUCAUGAUAUGUUUGAUUAAUUAAUUUUUUCCUUCACAAACAUGUUUUCUCUGAAUCAGAUCUUAAAACUGACUAAAGUGAAUAAUUCAUGGAGGGACCUCCAUGUCAGAUUCUGGCUCAACAGAGUCUCAGACAGAGCUAAAGAUAUAGACCAGUCUGAUUCUGUUAGUAAUGUGUCUCACAUAUCUCUCUUCUUUCAUUCAAGGGAAAUCAACAAUAACAACCAUAAUUAGCAUCAGGUUGACCCUGUUCUUUUUGAUGUUGAUUCCUCCACCUCUCGUGAGUCUGUUGACAAGGUAAAACCAUAAAACUCCAUCAAUUCAAACACGUUUCUUUUAUGAGCUUCUUCACUUGGUUCAUAGUUUAAUUUCUUUUCUCUCUAUCAUUGUAAAACUGACUUUUCUCAAAUGUAAUAAUCCAGGAAGAAGAAACCUCUGAGCUCCAACACUGAACCAAGUGAACCUGCAGAGAUGAUAGAGGUGAGACCGACUGCUGACAAAAUAUCUUUACAGACCUGUUCAAAGAUGUCAGGAUCAAAGUUUCAAAAUGGGACUAAAAUACUUUCAAAGAUGAUCAACUCUCUUCAUCUGUCCUCAGCUGGACUCUGCUCAUGAGAAUGAGAAAGUCUCAGCGGUCACUGCAGCACAGACUGAAGACAUAGAGGAGCAGGAAGACAGGGUGUGAAGUCCAGUCAGGGUGGGGUGUCUCCAGUGGUGCUGAUGGUCUACUGGUCCCAUAACUGGACUAGAGUCCCCUGUUGAGCGGUUGCUGGUUCAACUCCCGCCCAUGAUCCUUUGCUGCACAUGUUCUCUCACUUUCUACACUCCUCAUUUGCUGUCUUUCUUCUGCUUUCCUAUCUACAAAAGGAAAAAAUGCCCCAAAACACGACUGUCAUGAAAGUCAAAUAGAAAAACAAGAUACUUUAAAAAUCAAGUCAAAAAUAAGACGUUUCAAACUCUUACUUUUGUCAUGUUGGUUAAGUUUCCUUUAUUUUUGCACAUUCAUGUUUUGUUUCAUGUCAUGUAUUUCCUGUUUUAUUUUGUAGUUCACCAACUCUUGUUUCUGUCUUCUAGCUUUGUUCCUGUCUGGUCUGCCCUCGUUUUGUCACACCUGCUGCCUGAUUGUGUUUCCCCACCUGUUCCCCAUCACCCUCACUACCUCUUGUAUUUAAUCUCAUGCAUCUCACUGUCUCGUCACCAGUUCGUUGCACUCUAUAGUCACGUUCCAGCAUUAUGCAUAGUUUUAGUCAAGUCAUGUGUUACCUUUGUCUGCUUUAUUUCUGACCUUGCCUUUUUACAAUAAAUCCUUGUCUUUUGGACCAACUGA
rnacentral:lncRNA from 1 species